rnacentral:rRNA from 1 species
UACAGAGGUCCCAAGCGUUGUUCGGAUUCACUGGGCGUAAAGGGUGCGCAGGUGGUCGGGUAAGUCUGACGUGAAAUCCCGCAGCUUAACUGCGGAAUGGCAUUGGAUACUAUUCGGCUAGAGGGUUGGAGGGGGGACUGGAGUUCUCGGUGUAGCAGUGAAAUGCGUAGAUAUCGAGAGGAACACCAGUGGCGAAGGCGAGUCCCUGGACAACUCCUGACGCUGAGGCACGAAAGCUAGGGGAGCAAACAGG